rnacentral:tRNA from 1 species
GCGAUGUAGCUCAGCUGGUUAGAGCGAAGGAUUCAUAAACCUUAGGUCGGCGGUUCGAGUCCGCCCAUCGCC